UACAGAGGGUGCGAGCGUUGUCCGGAAUCACUGGGCGUAAAGGGCGCGUAGGCGGCUGGGUAAGCGUGUGGUGAAAGUCCGGGGCUCAACCCCGGAUCGGCCAUGCGAACUGUCCAGCUGGAGCACGGUAGAGGCACAUGGAAUUCCGGGUGUAGCGGUGGAAUGCGUAGAGAUCCGGAAGAACACCGGUGGCGAAGGCGGUGUGCUGGGCCGUAGCUGACGCUGAGGAGCGAAAGCUAGGGGAGCAAACGGG
rnacentral:rRNA from 1 species